GAAAGAAGCUGGCCAACGCAAUGGGGGGAACAGAUGGGUUCGUCGAGCGUUCGUGAAUGGAAAGAAUCGCUGCUUUUUCGCUAUUCACGCGGUAUAGUUGUCUGUGACGAUGGUUUUGAAGGUUCCUGAUCGCGGUAGCUGCCUUUCAUUCGGAUAUUUGAGAUGAUACUUAUUCAAAAUGGACAUAAUACUGAUAUCAAAAAGAAUAUCAAAGGAACGUUUAACAAAAUAUUAAAGAAGAACUUAUUCAAUAUUUGUGUAAUAUUGAUAGAUAUUUUUUCAAUAUUACAGAAACUAUACUUCAGCAUUCUAAUGGAAAAUAUCAUUUGGUGGUAGUCUAAUAAUACAAUGGCAAAUAAGUCGCGCUUCUGAACAAAUGAAAAGCGGAAGAACCGACCAAUAAUUCACGGGGUGGUAUCGAUCGAGCACGUGACUCUCCGGCACGAAUUCCAACGUUGUUGAAAAUGAUAUUAAUGACGAUCGACGUCGUCAGGGGAAAGGAAUGCAAUAUCGCCGCCGCUGGUGUUAAUGUAGCCGCUGGCUGCGACCAAUAGAAAAUUCCACGCUGAAGAAGCUUUUACCCGCGUGGUAUCAUGAACACAGCAUUGUCGUCGGAAGGAUUACCAGACAGUUAUUAAAAUAUCAUUCUUCCACGGUGACCCCACAGCCUCCAACAGGGAGAUUCACCCUCACGCGCUAGACGUCAUGGGGGCGACUUCACGUUGGCUGUCUUCCUGCCUCCUUUUCAACGUAGCUGGCGUAACAAUGUGUGUGUUUCGCGUGUCCUUGAAACCAAGGGAGGUCUCCGAUGAUGGCGUGGGUGUAUUCGCAAGUCACGUUUCACAAGGAGUAAAAGGAAAGGAACGUUUAUAAUGCGAGUAAUUGAAAGUUAGUCCAUCCUUAUUCCAAUAGCAACUUUAUAGUAACUACAGAAAGUACCUAUUCGUACAGCAUUGUAUCUAUUAUAGCAUUUAUACGUUGUAAUUACUAGGCUGCGGAUUUUUAUGCAAACGUGUAUUUUUAUGCAGAUAAUUAGAGAUAUAAAACCUACAUAAAGAUUUAUUAUGAGAUGCGUAAAUUUUAUAAUGGCUACUAUACAGCAGAUAUUUUUUAUAUUCAUAUUCAUUAGGUGAAUUUAUAAAUUUUUCAUAUUCGCAUAAAGAUCCGCAGUCUGGUAAUUAAUUAGUUUCCAUUAAUUAGGUUCAAUGUUUCAUUGGAAAAUAAAGGUAUGUGCAAAUACACUUUGUGGCUACUGUAUAUUAAUUAUAUGGAGAAAUUGAAUACAAAGACAACGUAAAUC
rnacentral:misc_RNA from 1 species